GAUUAAAACUUUUUUUAGAA
rnacentral:tRNA from 1 species